rnacentral:pre_miRNA from 1 species
AGUGAGAUAACUGGGUCAAAUGGAAGUUCCAUUCCAAGUUUUCUGAGGAAUCUGUAUAUUGCUUUCCAGAGUGGUUGCACCAAUUUUCAGUCCCACCAGCAAU